UUUGUGACAUAUCAUCUAUUCCAUUACACUAUGAUUCUCAAAGGCAGGAAGCUGUUUAUUUAACUCUCAGCCUAAGAUCUCACAUACUGUAGGCACUUAAUAGAUGUUUAUGGAAUAAUGAUGUGAAUCUGUCAAUUAAUCUAUGUGAGGGCUAUAUGAGCUCCUAGAGAUACCAUGAAGGGUUAGGUCACAAUGUAAUUGAAUGGUCACAGAGUUUACUGCCUAAUAGAUGGAGAUGAAACAAAAAAAUAAUCCUGUGACCAUAAACCCUAGGGCAAUCUCUAUGAGAAUAGAGAGGGAAAGAUCACAAUGUUUACACAUUGCUCUUUUCAAUUAAGCCACAUUCAUUGACCAACAAUUUCAUUGAGGUCAUUGGGUAGAUUCACAGUAAGGUGUUGGAGGUAGGCUGAGGAAAUUUUUAGCUCCUUGAUUCACUUAUGAGACCUAUAGAGUAUGAUGAGAACAAAGGUAUAAACUCCCUGUAUUUUUGAAGAUACCCUCUCCACCCAUACUUUCUUCCUGGAGCUAAAGACAACGGAAUUCAACGAGAACUUUCCCUACAUCCUCUUAGGUUCCCAGUGAUUUUGAGUUUUAGAGGAGGAUUUUAUGGAAAGAUCUGUAAUUUGACUCAAUUUGCCUGAUGAUUCUCAGCUUCCACAAUUUCAUCUUCAUUUUCUUCUUCAAAGGCUCCAGAGAAAACUGCUUUGGAAACAAUCACAAUCAUCAGAAAAAGAUACAAGCCCAUGGGCCUAGAUAAUUACAGAGAAGACCAGAUUUCAGGCAACCAGAGCACAAGGAAUAGAGCGGAUGGGGUCACUUGGCUUUGAAGACUUCCUGUAUAUUUUUAAGCCGCCCAUGACAUCAUUUUUGCAGGACAGCUCAGAACAAUAGGCGGGGGCGGUAAGAAAAGCACCAAAUCCACAAAUUCAGAUGAACAGUGUAAGAGGGUGCAACAGAAACACAUCAACAAUCUGGACUUUUCUGACAUGACUGAGAGAAGAACAUUCGAGAUUUGUGAGCCUGGGCCCCAAGGUUUCAGUGAUGGUCAAAGUAGACACUCCACUCAGAGCCCUCAGCCUUUUUCCCUGUUUUUCAACUGAGCUGUGACCUCCUCUUUCAGUUACUGGGAAUAACAACAACAACCACACAGAGACAAUCAUGUGACCCCAAAUUGUCCACAUGGCCAAGUUCAAUAAAUUAGCAGCCAGAAAUUUUAA